rnacentral:rRNA from 1 species
AUGGUCGUGCCCCGUGGCACGGCAGCACCCGUACUAUUGAAAUGGUUCGUUAGUAGAUAUGUUCCCGCUGGUGCCUCUUCUUCCAAUGGUACUAUAAUUCCUAUUCCUAUCCCUUUAUUCCCUUUUUUGGUCUAUCUACAUUUAAGGAAAUUCAUAUGCUCCAUGGACAAAGCAAAAAGUGGAGUGUUGGUCAAAGCAAGCCGCCCUAUUCUAUUACCAAACAAAAUGGAGAGAAGCUAA